rnacentral:rRNA from 1 species
GACGAACGCUGGCGGCGUGCUUAACACAUGCAAGUCGAACGGUAAGGCCCUUCGGGGUACACGAGUGGCGAACGGGUGAGUAACACGUGGGUGACCUGCCCUGCACUUCGGGAUAAGCCUGGGAAACUGGGUCUAAUACCGGAUAGGACCACUGCCUGCAUGGGUGGUGGUGGAAAGCUUUUGCGGUGUGGGAUGGGCCCGCGGCCUAUCAGCUUGUUGGUGGGGUGAUGGCCUACCAAGGCGACGACGGGUAGCCGGCCUGAGAGGGUGACCGGCCACACUGGGACUGAGAUACGGCCCAGACUCCUACGGGAGGCAGCAGUGGGGAAUAUUGCACAAUGGGCGCAAGCCUGAUGCAGCGACGCCGCGUGAGGGAUGACGGCCUUCGGGUUGUAAACCUCUUUCAGCACUGACGAAGCGAAAGUGACGGUAGGUGCAGAAGAAGGACCGGCCAACUACGUGCCAGCCGCCGCGGUAA